rnacentral:rRNA from 1 species
GACAGAGGGUGCAAACGUUGUUCGGAAUUACUGGGCGUAAAGAGCGUGUAGGCGGCUGCGUAAGUCGGGCGUGAAAUCCCAUGGCUCAACCAUGGAAGUGCACCCGAAACUGCGUAGCUAGAGUCCUGGAGAGGAAGGUGGAAUACUUGGUGUAGAGGUGAAAUUCGUAGAUAUCAAGUGGAACACCGGUGGCGAAGGCGGCCUUCUGGACAGUGACUGACGCUGAGACGCGAAAGCGUGGGGAGCAAACAGG